UACGUAGGGUGCGAGCGUUAAUCGGAAUUACUGGGCGUAAAGCGUGCGCAGGCGGUCUCGUAAGCUGGGUGUGAAAGCCCGGGCUUAACCUGGGAACGGCAUUCAGGACUGCGAGGCUCGAGUGUGGCAGAGGGAGGUGGAAUUCCACGUGUAGCAGUGAAAUGCGUAGAGAUGUGGAGGAACACCGAUGGCGAAGGCAGCCUCCUGGGCCAGCACUGACGCUCAUGCACGAAAGCGUGGGGAGCAAACAGG
rnacentral:rRNA from 1 species